CACGUAGGCACCAAGCGUUGUUCGGAUUUACUGGGCGUAAAGCGCACGUAGGCGGCUUCUUAAGUCAGGGGUGAAAUCCUGGAGCUCAACUCCAGAACUGCCUUUGAUACUGAGAAGCUUGAGUCCGGGAGAGGUGAGUGGAACUGCGAGUGUAGAGGUGAAAUUCGUAGAUAUUCGCAAGAACACCAGUGGCGAAGGCGGCUCACUGGCCCGGUACUGACGCUGAGGUGCGAAAGCGUGGGGAGCAAACAGG
rnacentral:rRNA from 1 species